CAGUCGCCACGGUAAUACGUAGGUGGCAAGCGUUGUCCGGAAUUAUUGGGCGUAAAGGGCUCGCAGGCGGUUUCUUAAGUCUGAUGUGAAAGCCCCCGGCUCAACCGGGGAGGGUCAUUGGAAACUGGGAAACUUGAGUGCAGAAGAGGAGAGUGGAAUUCCACGUGUAGCGGUGAGAUGCGUAGAGAUGUGGAGGAACACCAGUGGCGAAGGCGACUCUCUGGUCUGUAACCGACGCUGAGGAGCGAAAGCGUGGGGAGCGAACAGGAUUAGAUACCCCCGUAGUCCCUGUCUCUUAUAC
rnacentral:rRNA from 1 species